rnacentral:rRNA from 1 species
AUUGAACGCUGGCGGGAUGCUUUACACAUGCAAGUCGAACGGUAACAGGUUAAGCUGACGAGUGGCGAACGGGUGAGUAAUGCAUCGGAACGUGCCCGAUCGUGGGGGAUAACGCAGCGAAAGCUGCGCUAAUACCGCAUACGAUCUGAGGAUGAAAGCGGGGGACCGUAAGGCCUCGCGCGAUCGGAGCGGCCGAUGUCAGAUUAGGUAGUUGGUGGGGUAAAGGCCCACCAAGCCGACGAUCUGUAGCUGGUCUGAGAGGACGACCAGCCACACUGGGACUGAGACACGGCCCAGACUCCUACGGGAGGCAGCAGUGGGGAAUUUUGGACAAUGGGCGAAAGCCUGAUCCAGCAAUGCCGCGUGCAGGAAGAAGGCCUUCGGGUUGUAAACUGCUUUUGUACGGAGCGAAAAGGUCCUUUCUAAUACAAGGGGCUCAUGACGGUACCGUAAGGAUAAGCACCGGCUAACUACGUGCCAGCAGCCGCCGUAAUAC